rnacentral:rRNA from 1 species
UACGUAGGGGGCGAGCGUUGUCCGAAGUUACUGGGCGUAAAGCGCGCGUAGGCGGUUCAUUAAGUCUGGGGUGAAAGGUUCAGCGCUCAACGCGAACAGUGCCUUGGAUACUGGUGAACUUGAGUUGGGGAGGGGGAAGGUGGGAAUUCCGGGUGUAGGCGGUGAAAUGCGUAGAUAUCCGGAGGAACACCGAUGGCGAAGGCAGCUUCCUGGCCCACAACUGACCGCUGAGGUGCGAAAGCGUGGGGAGCGAAACGGG